ACUGCAGUCGAACGGGAUUUCGGUUAGCAAUAAUUGAAUGAGAGUGGCGCACGGGUGCGUAACACGUAUGCAACCUACCUAUAACUGGGGGAUAGCCUCCCGAAAGGGAGAUUAACACCGCAUAACAUUAUGAAGUGGCAUCACUUUAUAAUUAAAUCUACGGAGGUUAUAGAUGGGCAUGCGUCCGAUUAGCUAGUUGGUGAGGUAACGGCUCACCAAGGCUCCGAUCGGUAGGGGGUCUGAGAGGAUGAUCCCCCACACUGGUACUGAGACACGGACCAGACUCCUACGGGAGGCAGCAGUAAGGAAUAUUGGACAAUGGGCGCAAGCCUGAUCCAGCCAUGCCGCGUGAAGGAUGAAGGCCCUAUGGGUCGUAAACUUCUUUUAUACGGGACAAAACCCCCCGAUGCGUCGGGGGUUGAUGGUACUGUAAGAAUAAGGGUCGGCUAACUUCGUGCCAGCAGCCGCGGUAAUACGAAGGACCCGAGCGUUAUCCGGAUUUAUUGGGUUUAAAGGGUGCGUAGGCGGAUUAGUAAGUCAGUGGUGAAAGCCCAUCGCUUAACGGUGGAAUUGCCAUUGAUACUGCUAGUCUUGAGUAUGGUUGAGGUGGGCGGAAUGUGUCAUGUANCGGUGAAAUGCUUAGAUAUGACCCAGAACACCAAUUGCGAAGGCAG
rnacentral:rRNA from 1 species